UUUGAAAUGAAUUGAGUAAGUUGUUAAGAGAUGGCUUAAUCGAGGUGUCUGAAUUAUGUUGAGGUUAUAAUUCGGUAUCAAUAGUUAAUCUUGUUGCGUAAUAAGUUCUAAAUUGAAUUGACGUUUUGCAUAAAAUGUCUUGCAAACAGCGAUAUUGCAAGGGCAAUAUCUCGGGCUGUAUGAGUCCAAAUUAAGUUCCGUUUAUUGGUACGGAAACUUAAGGAUGUUAACUAUAAUUGUCUAAGUUUGAGUUUUUGUUGAAUCGGACUCUAGGAUGUUCAUUUUGGACAGAACAAAUUAUUGUGCAGUCUGCCCUGCACUUGUAAACAGCUCCCAGGAAAUAACUUAUGAGCUAGUUUUCGACACUUUCGGGUGCGUUUCAUGGUCCGAGACCUAAACGAAAGUUGAAGGCGACAUUCUAAACUUUAAGAAUGUCAAUUUUGUUUUGGGGUCGGACUAUUUUUAGAUAAGAGUUUUGUUAGCCGAAGUAGACUAGAAAAUUAGCUUUUUGAUAAAUUAAUUAUACUUAGAAAUUUUAUUAAUUCGUAGCGUUAUCGAAAUUGCGUAGACUCGAAGAAGCGACUAUCGAUAAGGCUCGAGGCGAAUGGAUCGAGAUAUCGUCGUGCUUAUUUAAAGAAUUUGGAUAGCAAGUGGGAUGGUAUGAUAUGAUUUGAAGAGUUAAGCUUCCGAAGUUUUAAUUCUCGGAAGUCAUUUGUAUAAGAAGAAAAAGAAGGUUUUCAUUCUAGCGGUCCGCAGUAGUCUAGAUAUUUUAACUAGAAUUUUGUAUAACGCGUUUUUAACUCUGAUAUUAUUUGUAAAUGGGGUCACAUGUAGUUUAAUAUAUGAAAUAUGUUUUGAUUUGCGAAAAAAAUUUACACAGGUUUUUAGGCUUGCUACGGGAUUUGGAGCUACCACUCCCAUUCCCUAGCGCCGGUCGCGGCUCAUAAAUUUGGGUCGUGACAAAGUUGGUAUCAGAGCAAUGGUUUAGAAUUCCUAGGCCAUUGUUCUUUUAUGAUUGAAGUAUAGGAAAGUGUCGAUCAAUAUAUAGGAACUACUGCGGAUUAUAGGGAUUUCCAGUCAUGUCUUUUGAACGUUAUCAAUGUUUUCAUCGAUUUUUCAAA